rnacentral:rRNA from 1 species
CACGUAGGGGGCAAGCGUUGUCCGGAUUUAUUGGGCGUAAAGAGCUCGUGGGCGGUGUGUCGCGUCGGCCGUGAAAACCUGCAGCUUAACUGUGGGCGUGCGGUCGAUACGGGCAUCACUGGAGUUCGGCAGGGGAGACUGGAAUUCCUGGUGUAGCGGUGAAAUGCGCAGAUAUCAGGAGGAACACCGGUGGCGAAGGCGGGUCUCUGGGCCGAUACUGACGCUGAGGAGCGAAAGCGUGGGGAGCGAACAGG